rfam:Stegodyphus mimosarum contig33766, whole genome shotgun sequence.
GUCUUCGAGGUGUAGUGGUCAGCACGCUUGAUGCGUAACCGAGAGGCCUGUGGUUCAAUUCCCGGCGAAGGCA